ensembl:lncRNA
AGUAGCAGCAGUAGUACUACUAGUAGUAUCAGUAAUAUAAAUAGCAGUAGUAAUAGUAGUAGUAUUAGUGAUGGUGGUCAUAGUAGUAGUAGUAGCAGUAGUAGUAAUAGAAGAAGCAGUAGUAAUAUUAGUAGUAUUAGUGGUGGUGGUGAUGGUGGUAGUAGAAGUAGUAGUAGCAGUAGUAUUAUUGGUGGUGGUGAUGAUAGUAGUAGUAGUAGUCGUAGUAUUAGUGGUAGUGGUGAUGGUAAUAGUAGUAAUAGUAGUAGUAUUAGUGGUGGUGGUGGUGAUGGUAGUAGUAGUAGUAUUGGUGGUGAUGGUAGUAGUAGUAUUAGUAGUAGUAGUUGUAGUGGUGGUGGUGAUGAUGAUAGUAGCAGUAGUAGUAGUAGUAGUAGUAGUAGUAGUAGUAGUAUUGGUGGUGAUGGUAGUAGUAGUAUUAGUAGUAGUUGUUGUAGUGGUGGUGGUGAUGAUGAUACUAGCAGUAGUAGUAGUAGCAGUAGUAUUAGUGGUGGUGGUGAUGGUGGUGGGUGGUAGUAGUAGUAGUAGCAGUAAUAGAAGUAGCAGUAGUAGUAGUAGUAUUAGUGGUGGUGGUGGUGAUGGUGGUAGUAGUAGUAGUAGUAUUGGUGGUGAUGGUAGUAGUAGUAUUAGUAGUAGUAGUUGUAGUGGUGGUGGUGAUGAUGAUAGUAGCAGUAGUAGUAGUAGUAGUAGUAGUAGUAGUAUUGGUGGUGAUGGUAGUAGUAGUAUUAGUAGUAGUCGUUGUAGUGGUGGUGGUGAUGAUGAUAGUAGCAGUAGUAGUAGUAGUAGUAGUAGCAGUAGUAUUAGUGGUGGUGGUGAUGGUGGUGGUGGUAGUAGUAGUAGUAGCAGUAAUAGAAGUAGCAGUAGUAGUAGUAGUAUUAGUGGUGGUGGUGGUGAUGGUGGUAGUAGUAGUAGUAGUAUUGGUGGUGAUGGUAGUAGUAGUAUUAGUAGUAGUAGUUGUAGUGGUGGUGGUGAUGAUGAUAGUAGCAGUAGUAGUAGUAGUAGUAGUAGUAGUAGUAUUGGUGGUGAUGGUAGUAGUAGUAUUAGUAGUAAUCGUUGUAGUGGUGGUGGUGAUGAUGAUAGUAGCAUAGUAGUAGUAGUAGUAGUAGUAGUAUUAGUGGUGGUGGUGAUGGUGGUGGUGGUAGUAGUAGUAGUAGCAGUAGAAGUAG